rnacentral:rRNA from 2 species
GUCUGGUGGGUAGUUUGACUGGGGCGGUCUCCUCCUAAAGAGUAACGGAGGAGCACGAAGGUUGGCUAAUCCUGGUCGGACAUCAGGAGGUUAGUGCAAUGGCAUAAGCCAGCUUGACUGCGAGCGUGACGGCGCGAGCAGGUGCGAAAGCAGGUCAUAGUGAUCCGGUGGUUCUGAAUGGAAGGGCCAUCGCUCAACGGAUAAAAGGUACUCCGGGGAUAACAGGCUGAUACCGCCCAAGAGUUCAUAUCGACGGCGGUGUUUGGCACCUCGAUGUCGGCUCAUCACAUCCUGGGGCUGAAGUAGGUCCCAAGGGUAUGGCUGUUCGCCAUUUAAAGUGGUACGCGAGCUGGGUUUAGAACGUCGUGAGACAGUUCGGUCCCUAUCUGCCGUGGGCGCUGGAGAACUGAGGGGGGCUGCUCCUAGUACGAGAGGACCGGAGUGGACGCAUCACUGGUGUUCGGGUUGUCAUGCCAAUGGCACUGCCCGGUAGCUAAAUGCGGAAGAGAUAAGUGCUGAAAGCAUCUAAGCACGAAACUUGCCCCGAGAUGAGUUCUCCCUGAGACUUAGAGUCUCCUGAAGGAACGUUGAAGACGACGACGUUGAUAGGCCGGGUGUGUAAGCGCAGCGAUGCGUUGAGCUAACCGGUACUAAUGAACCGUGAGGCUUAACCUUAC